UACGUAGGGCGCGAGCGUUGUCCGGAAUUAUUGGGCGUAAAGCGCACGUAGGCGGCUUAGCAAGUCGGAUGUGAAAUCCCUCGGCUUAACCAAGGAAGUGCAUCCGAAACUGCUGAGCUUGAGUACGAAAGAGGAUCGCGGAAUUCCCGGUGUAGAGGUGAAAUUCGUAGAUAUCGGGAGGAACACCAGUGGCGAAGGCGGCGAUCUGGGUCGAUACUGACGCUGAGGUGCGAAAGCGUGGGGAGCGAACAGG
rnacentral:rRNA from 1 species